CUGCGUAGAAGUAAAAAAUUUACAAUUAAUUUCGACUUAAUAAUUAAGGACUUUCUAGCCUUCGUGCAGA
rnacentral:tRNA from 1 species